rnacentral:ncRNA from 16 species
AGAGUUUCCUGGGGUUCUCUCCUCCUCCCUGAACCCCGGAAAUCAGCGGCGACCCUCUCUCCUCCUCCCUGAGGGUCGCCGCGCUCCCCUUUUC